rnacentral:lncRNA from 1 species
UUAAUAAUGGUGAAAAUGUUAAUAGUGGUGAAAAUGCACAAAUAGUCAAAUCAGGUGCGCGCAUAAUGACUUGCUUAAGCAUGGGUGCAUUAAAAACUGAUGAUGCCAUUUUUCAGAGUACAAGUAAUAACAUAAGUGAUAAAUUAAAUAAUUACAUGACAAGUAAUUGCAUGACAAGUAAUUGCAUGACAAGUAAUAGCAUGACAAGUAAUUACUUGACAAAUAAUUACUUGACAAAUAAGUACAUGAUCGAACAAUAUAAUUUUAAUACUAAAAAAAACAUCACUACUAAAAUGUUUGCUACUAAAAAUGCAAAAGAAAAAAAUAAAAAUGUAAAAGAAAAAAAAAAAAAUGCACAAGAAAAAAAAAAAAAUGCAAAAGAAGAAAAAAAAAAAAAACAAAAAAAAAAAAAAAAAAAAAAAAAAUAUAAUAAUCAAGACAUGUAUAAAUGUAAAAUAACAUAUAUAUUUAAAAAAAAAGAUGACAAUGUUGAAAAAGAUAUAAGUAUAAUAUUUCGGUCCAAUAAAAUAGAAAUAUUUAAAAAAUUAGAAGAAAAAGUAAAAAAUUUAUUAAUAAAUAAUAAAAAAGAAUAUUUAGAUAUAGAAGUUGUUUGUCAAUAUUUAAUUAAUAAAAAUAAAAAAAUAUUUACCUUACAUGUACAUAAUUUAAUACAAAAUAUUUACAAAAUUGAUAAAAAAUAUAUGCAUAAAAAAGCAUUUGAAUUAUUAAAAUUAUAUACUGAUCAUAUAAAAAAAGAAGAAUUAUUAAAAAAAAAUAGAAUUCGAUUUAUGCAAACAGGUAGUCAUAAAUUAGAAUAUGUAUUAAUAAAAAAAAUACAAACUUAUUUAAAUAUAUUACUUAUCAAAAGUUAUGAACAUAGUUUUAUAAAUUAUCAAGUAAAAACAAAUGAUUUAUUAUGUAGUAUGAUAGUGAAAGAAAAACAUAUUUAUGAAGAAAAAAUAGUAAAAAGAAAUUUAUUAAUAUUACAUAAUGCAUUGUUAACGGUAUAUAAAAAUCGUAUGUCGAAAUAUUUUCGUUUUUUUUUUAACAAUAAUAAAAUUGUUAAUCAAACAAAACAUAUACUUACCUAUGGAUUAUCACAUGUUAAUCAUAUACUUAUACAUUAUCAAAAACGAUUACAAAUGUUUGUAUUUUCAAAACUUAGAUUUAAUUAUGAAAAUACAACUUAUUUUAUUUUUAUUAUGUAUAAAAUAUAUUUAAGAAAAAUAUUUUGGGCUUAUAUCCGAUUAAGAAAUAAUAGUGUUAAUAUAAAAUUGUUUAAAGAAAAUAAUGUUUAUCGAUUAAUUAAAACUUUGACAAAAUUGUUAGAUAAUCAAAAAUAUUAUGCUUUUUUACAAAUACAAAAAUAUAUAUAUGAUAAAAAAGAAAAAAAAAAUCAAGAAAUUUGUAACAAUUUAAUGUAUGCAAAUGAUGAAUUAUCAAAUAAUUUGGAUAAAAUAGGAAUAGAAAAAGGAAUUAAUAAAUUAGAUGCUAUUUUUAAAUUUAAAAUUAAAGAAAGUAUGUUAAAAAUGUUUUAUACAUUAAAAGGACCACAUAUAAACACAACAUAUGCUCACUUAUAUAUUAAAUAUUCAAGUGUUUUCUCUUUCAUAUUAAAUAAAAUUAUACAAAGAAAAGUUAAAAAUAUAUUUUUUUAUUUCUUAUUAAAAUGUUUUCAAAAUAAACAUAAACAAAGACUUAUACAUUCUAUAAAUUGUUUAGAAAAUAUAAUUAAACAAAAAGAAAAAAAAAAUACAUUUUAUCUUUUACAACUAUUGGAUCAAUACCCAUAUUUAUUCAAAUAUAAAAACUUAACUAUAAUAGAAAUAUUUGUAGUUAGUAUAACAAAUUUUAUUAACUUUUGUAAUAAAAAAUUAUUAGUUAAUUUUAUGUUAAAAUUACAUUAUAUCAAAUAUCAAAAAAAUGUUAUGAAUACUUAUAAAUGUAUUAAUAAUAUAUAUAAAUUUAUACAUAUUAUUCAUAAAAAAAUAAAUAAAACAACAAAACCAGCAUUUAUAUUACUUAAGCAACAUACAUAUUACAAAACAAAUAAAAUUAUAACCGAAAAAAUUAAAGAAAAAAAAACACAGCUCAAAUUAAAUAAUCAUAUAUUAAAUACAGAAAAUAGUAAUUAUUAUACUCCAUUUCAUUCAUCUUCUUCUUUUUUUUUAAAAAAUAAACAUUUAUA